rnacentral:rRNA from 1 species
UACGUAGGGGGCAAGCGUUGUCCGGAUUUAUUGGGCGUAAAGAGCGUGUAGGCGGCCAUACAGGUCAGCUGUGAAAACUCGAGGCUCAACCUCGAGACGUCGGUUGAAACCGUAUGGCUAGAGUCCGGAAGAGGAGAGUGGAAUUCCCGGUGUAGCGGUGAAAUGCGCAGAUAUCGGGAAGAACACCUAUGGCGAAGGCAGCUCUCUGGGACGGUACUGACGCUGAGACGCGAAAGCGUGGGAGCGAACAGG